UACGUAGGGGGCAAGCGUUGUCCGGAAUCAUUGGGCGUAAAGCGCGUGUAGGCGGUUCAGUAAGUCUGCUGUGAAAGUCCAGGGCUCAACCCUGGGAUGCCGGUCGAUACUGCCGGACUAGAGUUCGGAAGAGGCGAGUGGAAUUCCCGGUGUAGCGGUGAAAUGCGCAGAUAUCGGGAGGAACACCUAUGGCGAAGGCAGCUCGCUGGG
rnacentral:rRNA from 1 species